GACAAGGUAAAGUGCAGCAGGAAUAGGAUACACUUUAACUUCAUCCCACGUAGUGCUCAACCUGUUAUCAUCAGUAACGCCAUCCGUUCUCCAGAUUCUUAGCAAGGCCACAAGCGACAAUGCACAUUUCAAUGCCUCUACCAGAAAAUUUGCAGUGGUUACACUGUACUCAUACUUCCCAGCUCUCUUCGACCAAACAAUGAGAAUCGAUUGUGAACUCGUAAGAAC
rnacentral:misc_RNA from 1 species